GGUUACACAGGUACACGUGCUUAGUCAGAAGCAGUAGAUGUAUGUCGAUUAUUCAUCUCAGAAGAGCUUAUGUGCACCUCUAUCUGUCAAGAAAAACUGUGAGCUAUGGUGACAGACUGUAGUUGCUUGACAGAAUAUGAGAGAAAACAAUCUUAAAGGUCUGUCUUCAAAGAAGGGAAGGUGUUAGAUACUGUGUCUGUUUAGAAAGGUAGAGAAAAUUAUAUUUUCUAUAAAAAAAACUAGCAGGGCCCCGUCAUAUGGUAUGUGUUUCGAAAGAUAUACGUGGAAGCAGCUAGACACGUGAUCAGACCUCUUUUAGACCACGUACGAGGUUCGGAUACCUCAGUGUGGCAGCAACGUUUUGCCAGUUGUCGUUAACGGUUACUUAACUUUGUUAUUGCUUCUUAAAAAUCUCGUUGGUUAUUUCCGUAACAAAACGAAGUUAAAAUAAUAAUAGUUCUUUUUGUCUGUCUUAUUUUUAGCACCGAAGAUGAUGAUGGCUGCAGAUUUUACGCCUGUCAAUGCCGACAAUUGUUCAAACAUUUAGUGGUUACAAACAUUACCUAGCAGUUAUAAGAUUAUCUACAAGGAAGGGGGACAAUUGUCCAUUGGCUGCAUGUGGUGAACUUACUUUGGUGGUCGUGUCCCCGGUAGUUGAGAAUAUACGAUAAAGGAUAAAAAUAAGAGACGCCCUAUUUCGUACCUUCCUCACACUGUGUCUUGAUAUCACCGAGUUACAUUGUACCUGUGAGAUUAUACUUACUACGUAAUACUAUGUGGGUAUUGCAUAUGAUAACAUGACAUUUAACGAUUCUACAAACCAACAGGUAGAAAAGACAAUCACGUGGCUAACACUUAAAGACUGUUUGUGUUGCAGGUACCGUUUACACACGAUGGGGAAGCAAGGAGUGUGCUUCUACAGCAGCGACGGUGUAUUCAGGUUAUGUGGCUGGCAGUUGGUACAGCACACCCGGAUCUGGAGCCAACUACCUGUGUCUACCACCCAAUCCCGUGGCCAGUACCAUAACGAAACCUGCCCACUGAGCCACCCUGUACGGCGCCGAGUACGAAGUGUGGCCACGUGCAGAGCACAACCAUGACGCUCUGUGUGCCGUGUGCUUCGUGAAAACUCGCUCAGCCAACAUCAUGAUACCCGGCACAAACAGCUGUCCGUGUGGGUGGACCUCCGAGUACACGGGUUUACUCAUGAGCGGGCACGACGGACACCACGGGUCAACGGAGUUCAUCUGCGUGGACAGCAAACUGGAAGGCCGCAUCGCCUCAGGCGCUAACCUAGAGGGCAGGCUGCUGUACUACGUGAUUGGCUACUGCGGCAGUCUACCCUGUCCUCCUUACGUGAACAACAACGUCAUGCAAUGCGUUGUUUGCACCAAGUGAGAGUCCAUCGUUCUGUCUGAGCAAUCCAAGAACAAGGUCUCUACACUGUUAUUCUCCGACGUGACCCGAUCCGAUCAGAGAUUAAUAUUAACUUUCUUUGCUUUGACUUUUCUUUUCUCUGUGAGGUUAGGUAAAAAUACAGUUGUGAGAAGACUGUUAAGUUUUUCUGCAUUAGGACAGGUGUUGUAAUGUUUAUUGGUUUCUAUAAAAACUGUUAGAAGUUUUAGCCUGCUGCCAUGUUUCAACAUGUGCUUCUUCCAGUAAAGGUUGUGGAAAUUCACUUUCUCUUACUUUCUACAAAUAAAACCUUUUAUUCACAGA